AAUAGAUGGCAUCAAACCACCUACAAAUAUCUUCUACUACUAUACUUGCAAAGAGAGGAUUACUAGGAACAACACACUAAUAUAUUAUGGUGAAGCUAACAUAUUAGGAACAAACGAAUAAUAACGUGAGAGUAAUUAAGAAUCCGUAGCAAUUAUUUCUGCUAGUACAGCUAGCAGCCAAUAAGAAUUUCGAUAUAGCAGCUUGCAUAUAAUCACCUUGGCGUUGGCGAGCAGGUUUUUUCUAUCCUUUUCCGUUGAGAAUCGGCGAGAUUUUCCAUGAUGCUGCCUGCACUGAAUGGACGGACAGUUUGUACUUGGUUGAGACAGUUUAUGAGCUCAUAAAGAGCCAACUCAACAUUUUGCCAACAUGGAGGAGAGAGAAGAGCAGGAGAGAGAAGAAGCUGAGCUUGUUCGCUUCAGCUUAUAAGUCGGCUGAAAAGCUGAAACGGCUGAUUUGUUGUGAGAGGAAAAUACUGUUUGGUAGCUGAUAAGUCAGCUGAAUAAGCUGAAGCGAACAUGCCCGCUAUUUCUUAUUCCCACAAGGUGCUCGCGGGGCCUGCUCUUGCGCACGCUGCGUCCUGUCUCUCUCCCUCGUUUCCCCAUCUGCGCUAAACUGUGCAGGCCGGGAGCACCGACGGGCGCCCGUGCACCGAC
rnacentral:lncRNA from 1 species